rnacentral:rRNA from 1 species
CUUGACUUUGGGAUAACUUCAGGAAACUGGGGCUAAUACCGGAUAGGAGCUCCUGCUGCAUGGUGGGGGUUGGAAAGUUUCGGCGGUUGGGGAUGGACUCGCGGCUUAUCAGCUUGUUGGUGGGGUAGUGGCUUACCAAGGCUUUGACGGGUAGCCGGCCUGAGAGGGUGACCGGCCACAUUGGGACUGAGAUACGGCCCAGACUCCUACGGGAGGCAGCAGUGGGGAAUAUUGCACAAUGGGCGGAAGCCUGAUGCAGCAACGCCGCGUGCGGGAUGACGGCCUUCGGGUUGUAAACCGCUUUCGCCUGUGACGAAGCGUGAGUGACGGUAAUGGGUAAAGAAGCACCGGCUAACUACGUGCCAGCAGCCGCGGUGAUACGUAGGGUGCGAGCGUUGUCCGGAUUUAUUGGGCGUAAAGGGGCUCGUAGGUGGUUGAUCGCGUCGGAAGUGUAAUCUUGGGGCUUAACCCUGAGCGUGCUUUCGAUACGGGUUGACUUGAGGAAGUUAGGGGAGAAUGGAAUUCCUGGUGGAGCGGUGGAAUGCGCAGAUAUCAGGAGGAACACCAGUGGCGAAGGCGGUUCUCUGGGCCUUUCCUGACGCUGAGGAGCGAAAGCGUGGGGAGCGAACAGGCUUAGAUACCCUGGUAGUCCACGCUGUAAACGGUGGGUACUAGGUGUGGGGUCCAUUCCACGGGUUCCGUGCCGUAGCUAACGCUUUAAGUACCCCGCCUGGGGAGUACGGCCGCAAGGCUAAAACUCAAAGGAAUUGACGGGGCCCCGCACAAGCGGCGGAGCAUGCGGAUUAAUUCGAUGCAACGCGUAGAACCUUACCUGGGUUUGACGUGGAUCGGGAGUGCUCAGAGAUGGGUGUGCCUCUUUUGGGGUCGGUUCACAGGUGGUGCAUGGCUGUCGUCAGCUCGUGUCGUGAGAUGUUGGGUUAAGUCCCGCAACGAGCGCAACCCUUGUUCACUGUUGCCAGCACGUUAUGGUGGGGACUCAGUGGAGACCGCCGGGGUCAACUCGGAGGAAGGUGGGGAUGACGUCAAGUCAUCAUGCCCCUUAUGUCCAGGGCUUCACGCAUGCUACAAUGGCUGGUACAGAGAGUGGCGAGCCUGUGAGGGUGAGCGAAUCUCGGAAAGCCGGUCUCAGUUCGGAUUGGGGUCUGCAACUCGACCUCAUGAAGUCGGAGUCGCUAGUAAUCGCAGAUCAGCAACGCUGCGGUGAAUACGUUCCCGGGGCU